UAAUUAGACCAUGUAAAAUUGGCCAGUGUAAACAAAUGUUAAUUUUCUUGGUGUCAAAUUGUUUGUGUUAAGAGGUGUUGAUUUAAGAGUUGUUUUUACACCCUGUGCUAAUAUAACUCCCAAUUGAGAGUUACUGUACAGAGGUUGGGCAGUGGCACUGAGCAGUCUUUUCAUCUAAUUGCCGAUGAUGCAAGGGCAGCUGGAAUUGUGACGUGUGAAAGACUUUUCUCCUACAGUCUGUUCGACACCGAGUGUGUGCACAGACACAUUAUCCCUCUUGUCAAGUGACUUAGACCUGAGAUCUUCAGAAAGACUGUCUAAAAAGGCCCACUCAACAUUAGGAGACGAGGCCAUUGACUCCGCAGCAGCAAAAUAGAGGGUCCGAGAUGCCCUGACUAGUAGACCUGGCGGGCAAGACGUAUUAGAAGAAUACCAGACAACUAAAACAUUGGACCACAGAACCAGGAGAGAGAUUGCCAUCUUAGUCAGCCGCAUGAAAGAGAUGCAUGAGAGGCUUCCCACUCAUCAACAGAGAGAACGUAAUGCUCUUGCAAUUCAGGAGGCCCAACCCAUAGGAGGAAAACUGACCUGGACCAUCAGCUUGUUGGUGAUGCCUGCAAGGAGGCCAUAUCAUUCCUUGUCCACACAGGUGAAUCAGGACUUAUUGCUGAUGUUCGACGAUGAAACGUCCUCUAAGCUCCUUGAAAAAUGGGACACUGUAUUGAAGCCUAAAGUCAUCAAACUGGCAAAAUCCCUAACUACCACAGCUCCUGAAGUCUGCAGAAAAACUGCUGGAGAAUGACAGCAAAACCAACUGUCACAAUAUGUCCUCCCUGAUGCUGCUUCAUCUCCUCCCUCCACCAGCAGGAGGGAAGAGGACCAAACUCAGUGCCAGUGAUGCUGUCGGCAGACUAAUGCACUUUCAUAAGUCAUGCUGCAGCAUUGAAGACCAUCUUGCUGGGAGCCAUGGUCGACAGCCAUACCUCCUUGGCGUCGAAAGAAGACAGAGCAAGAUUGACAACUACUACAUCGUGGUGGACAAGAGGCUAGUUCCCUGCCAGGCAACUAGUGAUCUGUGUGCGUUUGAUGAACUAUUCAAAGUCCACUUUGUCUUUGUCUUUAACCUGACAAACUCAGUAAAAAAAGAAACGUCAACUGCAUUUAUUUUCAUCAAACUUAACGUGUGUAAAUAUUUGUAUGAA